rnacentral:rRNA from 1 species
AUUGAACGCUGGCGGCAGGCCUAACACAUGCAAGUCGAGCGGAGCGGCGGACGGGUGAGUAAUGCCUAGGAAUCUGCCUGGUAGUGGGGGAUAACGUCCGGAAACGGGCGCUAAUACCGCAUACUAUCAGAUGAGCCUAGGUCGGAUUUGCUAGUGGGUGGGGUAAAGGCCUACCAAGGCGACGAUCCGUAACUGGUCUGAGAGGAUGAUCAGUCACACUCGAACAGAGAUACGGUCCAGACUCUUACGUGAGGGGGAGGAGGGGAAUAUUGGACAAUGGGCGAAAGCCUGAGCCAGCCACGUGGCGUGUGUGAAGAAGGUCUUCGGAGUGUAAAGCGCUUUAAGUGGGGAGGGGCUUUCAACAGAAUAAGCACCGGCUAACUUCGUGCCAGCAGCCGCGGUAAUAC